GAUCCCUAAACCUCAAAGAAAGGGGUCUGGUAGCAGGUAGAGCUCAAGGCACUGCCACACAGACACCCCCCCCCCCCGAAGGCUGCCUUUCCAGCCAGGACUUCUUGCCAUAAAUGGAUGGAUAUGCCUUUUCACAGACAGCUCAUCCAGGACUCAGGAACCCUGGGGAAUGACCCUGUUCCUCACCUGCCAUUCAGGCCUUCCUUGCUUCCUUGAGGUAACUCGCAUAACCCUGGCGCUAGGAUGACCUCUGUCCUACUCCAGUGUCCACCCGAUUUCUCAAAAGAA
rnacentral:lncRNA from 1 species